UACACGCUGUGACUAGCAUAUCAAUAAGCGGAGGAAAAGAAACUAACAAGGAUUCCCUUAGUAACGGCGAGUGAAGCGGGAAGAGCUCAAAUUUGAAAUCUUGAAAGGUCACCUUUCACGAAUUAUAGUUUAAAGAAGUGUUUUCUGUUACGAUCGUAAUAUAAGUUCUUUGGAAUAGGACAUCACAGAGGGUGAGAAUCCCGUCUAUGAUUGCGAUUUGUAGCUUUGUGAUACACUUUCAAAGAGUCGGGUUGUUUGGGAAUGCAGCCCAAAACGGGAGGUAAAUUUCUUCUAAGGCUAAAUAUUGGCGAGAGACCGAUAGCGAACAAGUACCGUGAGGGAAAGAUGAAAAGAACUUUGAAAAGAGAGUUAAAUAGUACGUGAAAUUGUCAAAAGGGAAGCGUUUAACACCAGUGUUGUUUUCUGAAAAUCAACCUCUGUUAGCUUUAUGCAUGUUUGUUUAGACCUAAUCAGCUAUCUUUCAUGUUCUAUUGUUUGCAGUGGUGCACUUUUCAGUUUACAGGUCAACAUCAGUUUUUUUUACCGUAAAAAAGUUAAAGAAAGGUAGCUCAUGGCUCCGGUCGUGAGUGUUAUAGUCUUUUUCCUAUGCGGUAGGAGAGACUGAGGUCUGCAGUGUAGGCUAUUUGGCUAGAUACUCAGGUGCUAUGUGAUACCAUUUCAUAAACAACUUGUUGAUUAUGUUUUGUCUAUUGCAUACUCGCUUGUACUAUCAUACCUACGCUUAGGAUGUUGAGUAGCGACAUACGCAC
rnacentral:rRNA from 1 species